UCAUCUCUAUGCCGUCGCUGCUGCUCUAUUGCGGUGAGGUCGUCGCCGCUCUCCUUGAGGUCGCUGCAUCUGCCAACGAGGGAGCCGGGGUGACUGACGUCAGUCGCCUCCACCUUCUUCUCCCCUUUCGUCUCUGUGUCACCACCCUUCCCCUCUCCAUCUUCCCCCGUCCAUGCGGUGCUAGAUCUGGUUGGGAGUGGUCAGAUCUAGUGACCUUCGGUCUCCUCGCUGAUGGAUUUGGUCCAUCAGAAGCAAUGAGUGCAAGCACCCACCAUCGUCCUCUUCCAUCCCUCUUCUCACCACUGUCUUCUCUAUCCUCUUGCUCUCCCUCUCCUCCCAGCUGCUUGGUGCCAGAUCUAGGAUAUAGGAGAGGUAGGGCGGACUGUUGGUUAGGAGGCCAGGGACGGGAAGGGAGGGCGAGCACGGCAACUCGGUCAGAAUAGUGACAAUGACGGACGCGCAUCGGUGACAACAAUGGCAAGCCACAGCGACAAGGAUGGAGCGUCUCAAUGACGACUGCAACAGAAGCUCGGUCGAUCUUUAUCUUCUUUUUUCUUGAUAUUUUUGUCUUAUUUUUUCUUAUGGUGAGGCAAUCCACCAACGAUUACAUUUCUAUAUUGCUUGCUUAACAGGAGAACUUGCAUGGAUCAUUAUGAACUAACUAAUGCUUUUUCCAUCUUUAUAAAUCCUUCAGGAACGAUGACUGAUUAUUUUUCGGUUUGUUCAUGAUUCUUAACAAUAUGAAGAGAUGAGUGUCAGUUUUGACUUUGGAUGUAUGCAACUCAUUGCUCAUGAUCUCUCUACAUGUUUGACUAAGCUUCUACAUUGCAUUGCAGAAUAUAACAAACCCAGUCACAAUUUUCAUAUGAUAAAACAUGCAGCGGUCCAGCUUACAGUUUGCUGUUCAUUUUCUUUUUCUUUCAUUUAUUACCCGAUUAUGGAAUGAUCAAGCUUGCUUUUCGAUGUGGCCUUAGAAAUAAUCAAAUUCACCGAAUGUCAACAAGAAGCACAAGCAUGAGCUUACGUGUAGUACAGCAUGGAAGCAUGCUCCUUGCUCUGCUAUGGUCAAGUUUGUACAUUUUGCUUUGUUUUUGUUAGAAAGAGGUACAUACUACCUGCAUCAGGAGCAGGAUUUCUCUUAAAUGAAACCUGUCAUUUUCUUUGCAAAGAUCCAUCAAAAAGACAAUAAAGGCUAACUCAUAUUACUUCUUGGAAAAAGAAUGUAUUUGAUUUGCCUGCAUUCAUACGAGAGAGUUCAACUACAUUUUCUCCUCUACACUAACUGUAUCAUCUGGUGUCCUAAGUAUCAAAUAUCAUAGGUGUUAGUACUGCAUGUUGGUAAUCGAGAAUUAUCUAAACCUUAUUCUGUUUGCCUAUGAAUUUAUAUGGUACUGUUGAGCGUGCAAUUUUGCUUGGAGUUCUUCUGGCUUUCAAGUUAGUCCUAUGAAACAAAGUUUUUCCAUCAUGUAGAAAAUUUCUUGAUAUAUUCUUACAAGUCGUUGUUUGUAUUGUGCAGCCAUUUCUGUGGUUGUCAUAUG